UACGUAGGGGGCUAGCGUUGUCCGGAAUCAUUGGGCGUAAAGAGCGUGUAGGCGGUCCGGUAAGUCCGCUGUGAAAGUCGGGGGCUCAACCCUCGAAUGCCGGUGGAUACUGUCGGGCUAGAGUGCGGAAGAGGCGAGUGGAAUUCCUGGUGUAGCGGUGAAAUGCGCAGAUAUCAGGAGGAACACCUAUGGCGAAGGCAGCCCCCUGGGCUAACACUGACGCUCAUGCACGAAAGCGUGGGGAGCAAACAGG
rnacentral:rRNA from 1 species